rnacentral:rRNA from 1 species
CUACGGGCGGCUGCAGUGGGGAAUAUUGCACAAUGGAGGAAACUCUGAUGCAGCAACGCCGCGUGGAGGAUGACACUUUUCGGAGCGUAAACUCCUUUUAUAUAGGAAGAAGAUGACGGUACUAUAUGAAUAAGCGCCGGCUAACUCCGUGCCAGCAGCCGCGGUAAUACGGAGGGCGCAAGCGUUACUCGGAAUCACUGGGCGUAAAGAGCGUGUAGGCGGAUUAAAAAGUCAGAAGUGAAAUCCUAUAGCUUAACUAUAGAACUGCUUCUGAAACUCUUAAUCUAGAAUGUGGGAGAGGUAGAUGGAAUUUCUGGUGUAGGGGUAAAAUCCGUAGAGAUCAGAAGGAAUACCGAUUGCGAAGGCGAUCUACUAGAACAUUAUUGACGCUGAGACGCGAAAGCGUGGGGAGCAAACAGGAUUAGAUACCCUGGUAGUC